GAUGAACGCUGGCGGCGUGCCUAAUACAUGCAAGUCGAGCGAACAGACGAGGAGCUUGCUCCUCUGACGUUAGCGGCGGACGGGUGAGUAACACGUGGAUAACCUACCUAUAAGACUGGGAUAACUUCGGGAAACCGGAGCUAAUACCGGAUAAUAUAUUGAACCGCAUGGUUCAAUAGUGAAAGACGGUUUUGCUGUCACUUAUAGAUGGAUCCGCGCCGCAUUAGCGAGUUGGUAAGGUAACGGCUUUCCAGGGCAACGAUGCGUAGCCGACCUGAGAGGUGAUCGGCCACACUGGAACUGAGACACGGUCCAGACGCCUACGGGAGGCAGCAGUAGGGAAUCUUCCGCAAUGGUCGAGAGCCUGACGGAGCAACGCCGCGUGAGUGAUGAAGGUCUUCGGAUCGUAAAACUCUGUUAUUAGGGAAGAACAAAUGUGUAAGUAACUAUGCACGUCUUGACGGUACCUAAUCAGAAAGCCACGGCUAACUACGUG
rnacentral:rRNA from 1 species